GUCCGAGUAGCGCAACUGGUAGGAGGCAACAGAUUUAAAAUCUGUACAGUGCGGGUUCAAAUCCCGCCUCGGACA
rnacentral:tRNA from 1 species